UCGCGGUGUUUUUUCGCCAUGCAUCCUUGGUUUAGAAGUUUUGGAUCCUGGCUCCGGACGAACGCUGGCGGCGUGCCUAAUACAUGCUAGUCGAGCGAACCGAUGGAGUGCUUGCAUUCCUGAGGUUAGCGGCGGACGGGUGAGUAACACGUAGGCAACCUGCCUGUACGACCGGGAUAACUCCGGGAAACCGGAGCUAAUACCGGAUAGGAUGCCGAACCGCAUGGUUCGGCAUGGAAAGGCCUUUGAGCCGCGUACAGAUGGGCCUGCGGCGCAUUAGCUAGUUGGUGGGGUAACGGCCUACCAAGGCGACGAUGCGUAGCCGACCUGAGAGGGUGAACGGCCACACUGGGACUGAGACACGGCCCAGACUCCUACGGGAGGCAGCAGUAGGGAAUCUUCCGCAAUGGACGAAAGUCUGACGGAGCAACGCCGCGUGAGUGAGGAAGGUCUUCGGAUCGUAAAACUCUGUUGUCAGGGAAGAACCGCCGGGAUGACCUCCCGGUCUGACGGUACCUGACGAGAAAGCCCCGGCUAACUACGUUGCCAGCAGCCGCGGUAAUACGUAGGGGGCAAGCGUUGUCCGGAAUUAUUGGGCGUAAAGCGCGCGCAGGCGGCUUCUUAAGUCAGGUGUGAAAGCCCACGGCUCAACCGUGGAGGGCCAUCUGAAACUGGGGAGCUUGAGUGCAGGAGAGGAGAGCGGAAUUCCACGUGUAGCGGUGAAAUGCGUAGAGAUGUGGAGGAACACCAGUGGCGAAAGCGGCUCUCUGGUCUGUACCUGACGCUGAGGCGCGAAGCGUGGUGGAGCAAACAGGAUUAGAUACCCUGAUAGUCCACGCCGUAAACGAUGAGUUGCUAAGGUGUUGGGGGAGUCCGCCCUCCUCAGUGCCGCAGCUAACGCA
rnacentral:rRNA from 1 species